UUAGGUGUUAUGUUAGGUGUUAUGUUAGGUGUGUGUUAGGUGUUAUGUUAGGUGUUAUGUUAGGUGUUGUGUUAGGUGUUGUGUUAGGUGUUAUGUUAGGUGUUAUGUUAGGUGUUAUGUUAGGUGUUAUGUUAGGUGUUAUGUUAGGUGUUAUGUUAGGUGUUAUGUUAGGUGUUGUGUUAGUGUAGCAGUGAGGGGAAUCUCACAAGGCUUAAUUAGAGAGAAAAAACACACAAACUCUCUCAAUUCCCAGGCUAUCGCCACUGCCUUGGUAUGUGAUACCACCCCCCACCCCCAAUUAAAUCAUGAAGACCGUUG
ensembl:lncRNA